rnacentral:rRNA from 1 species
ACUCCUACGGGGAGGCAGCAGUAGGGAAUCUUCCGCAAUGGGCGCAAGCCUGAUGGAGCAACACCGCGUGAGUGAAGAAGGGUUUCGGCUCGUAAAGCUCUGUUGUUAAAGAAGAACACGUAUGAGAGUAACUGUUCAUACGUUGACGGUAUUUAACCAGAAAGUCACGGCUAACUACGUGCCAGCAGCCGCGGUAAUACGUAGGUGGCAAGCGUUAUCCGGAUUUAUUGGGCGUAAAGAGAGUGCAGGCGGUUUUCUAAGUCUGAUGUGAAAGCCUUCGGCUUAACCGGAGAAGUGCAUCGGAAACUGGAUAACUUGAGUGCAGAAGAGGGUAGUGGAACUCCAUGUGUAGCGGUGGAAUGCGUAGAUAUAUGGAAGAACACCAGUGGCGAAGGCGGCUACCUGGUCUGCAACUGACGCUGAGACUCGAAAGCAUGGGUAGCGAACAGGAUUAGAUACCCUGGUAGGAUAGCG